rnacentral:rRNA from 1 species
CAGCCUACACAUGCAAGUCGAACGAUGAUCCCCAGCUUGCUGGGGGAUUAGUGGCGAACGGGUGAGUAACACGUGAGUAACCUGCCCUUGACUCUGGAUAAGCCUGGAAACUGGUCUAAUACCGGAUAUGACUCCUCAUCGCAUGGUGGGGGGUGGAAAGCUUUAUUGUGGUUUUGGAUGGACUCGCGGCCUAUCAGCUUGUUGGUGAGGUAAUGGCUUACCAAGGCGACGACGGGUAGCCGGCCUGAGAGGGUGACCGGCCACACUGGGACUGAGACACGGCCCAGACUCUACGGGAGGCAGCAGUGGGGAAUAUUGGACAAUGGGCGAAAGCCUGAUCCAGCAAUGCCGCGUGAGUGAUGAAGGCCUUAGGGUUGUAAAGCUCUUUUACCCGGGAUGAUAAUGACAGUACCGGGAGAAUAACCCCGCUAACUCCGUGCCAGCAGCCGCGGUAAU